rnacentral:rRNA from 1 species
UACGGAGGGUGUAAGCGUUGCUCGGAUUUAUUGGGCGUAAAGGGUAGGUAGGUGGUCUUAUUUGUCUAGGGUGAAAUCCUUGAGCUUAACUCAAGAAGUGCCCUAGAAACGGUAAGACUAGAGUCCUGGAGAGGGUCGUGGAAUUCCCGGUGUAGCGGUGAAAUGCGUAGAGAUCGGGAGGAACACCGAUGGCGAAGGCAGCCUUCUGGCCUAAUACUGACGCUGAGGUGCGAAAGCAUGGGGAGCAAACAGG